rnacentral:tRNA from 1 species
GUUUUAAUAGCUUAUAUUAAAGAGUAUUAUAUUGAAGUUAUAAAGGAAAGUUAAACUUUUAAAACA